GGGGCUGUUUUGGUUUCGACAUUUAAAAUUAUUUAAAGUAUGAUGCAGGUCGAAGUUUGUAUUCUUCGUAAAAACAUACUGAUUUAUAAUAACUGCUAACAAUAUAAUCCCGUUUAGUCGUAAACUAGUAAUGGCGUAAAUCUCUCCAUUUCUUAUUUACUUUAGUUGAAAAAUUAGUUCGCUAUAAUUUUUUGUUAUAGCUUUGAAUAAUUCUUUAUUACUUAACUUUUGUUCAGUUUUCUGAACUAAACCUGUGAACGAGUACUUUGAUGCUUUUUAGAUGGACGUGGGUUCAAUUCCCAUCAGCUCCA
rnacentral:tmRNA from 1 species